UUACUUUGAGCAAAACUGAAAAUCCUUAUCCAUUAUUUGCCUAUAUUAUUUCGUAGUUAAUAAUUUACUAUAAGCAAGAUUGAAAAUCCUUACCCGUUACGUGUCUACGUUAUUUCAUAGUUAAUAAUUUACUUUAAGCAAAAUGAAAAGUCUGGAUCUACAUAUAAUGUACCUGCUGUCCAGCGUAUGUGUAAAUAUUUUAAAUGUGUUUUAUGAUAUUGUUUAGAGGUCUAGAAUAGAUUUGAAUUUGAUUUUCGACAGCACAUAACUGUCGUGUCAACUUCAAGCUGACAAAAACUGAACCCGACCUCGAAGUCUGUUUAUUUUCAUUCGGUGUGGUCACGGCGGUUAUGUGCAGUUCGAAAGUGAUGGAGUGAGUGUAGCUGUUCUAAAAUUAUAGAUCUCCAAAUGCCAUAAGCGCAUAAAGAUCUGCCGUCAGCCCGUUGUUAAAAUUUGCGUCAUAGUUAUAAACGUUCCGCAAACGCAGACGCAAUUGCACAAGCCUUCCGAAAGACCACGAAACAAUUUUUACCAGGUUUCAAUGUCACGUGUUGAUAUCGAUCAAACGAUUUAAUCUUGAAAUCUCUUGAAACUUCGAGAGGCCGGCGAGAUUCGUAAAACAAUGGGAGACAAUCGUCGAAACGGAAUCGAUCGGAAGAAUCAGCCAGGUUAAAAAUUGCAACGCAGUGAGGACCUUGCAUAGUCAAGUGACGCUGCAACGGUCGUCCGUCCGUAGGCAAGUUUCUGCCACCGGAAGUAGUGCUCUGAACGCUAAAAGGAGCGCUUCCACUCUCGCCAUGGUGAACGGAACAAAAAUAGUACAAUAGAAAAAAAAACGAAAGAAAGAAAGAAAGGACAGAUAAAAACAGUUAGGGAGAAAAGAAAGACAAGACAACGCUAUCCUAAAAUGGCGUUUUGCAUUAGACAAAGCUGCGAACGAUUCGGAUACCAUGGGUACAUUCCGAAGCGAAUGAAUUAGGUAUAUAUAUGUAUAUAUAUAUAUAAUGUAUAUAAUGAUCGGUCGAAAUAUCGAAUCGGGUAUUGUCGGGCCAUCUUUGCACGGUGUACAGGCACAUAAUUCUCGUGUCGACACGCAAUGUUGUUUUUCUUUUUUUUAUACAUAGAUAAAGGCUACUUACAUGACGAUUCGCCUAACAAUCCUAAUCUGUCUAAAAUAAAUACGAUUUGUUGGUCCCUCUACACUUUAGCUUUAUCUUGAGUUGCUUAUUGUCAGAAGAGCUAGAAAGGGUAAAAUAGUGAAAAACUAGAAUGAAACCAAACGUGAGAAACGAGCUCUUCUCUCUCGGCUUUCUCUUUUAGGGGAACGUGCAUCAAGCGAGAAAACAAAACAAACAGAAUAUCGUGGUACAGUAUUAUCAGUCGGGGGAGUAAAACAACAACAAUAACAACAACAACAACAACAACAAUAACGAAACAAGGAGGGUGAAGAGAGAGAGAGAGAGAGGGGGAGAGAGAGAAAGAGAAAUAAUACAAAACAGAUUAAAUUAUCGGCGUGUGAAACGCUGCAGGAGACGACAACUUAAGACUUUGACAGACUAAAAGAUGCAAUAAAAGGGGCAUGCAAGGUGUCGAUUAUCGUUAAAUCAUGCAGCACAUUCGCUAUCACGGUGGGAUCGAUCGAACCUGUUAGAAAAAGAAAGCUUGUAGACGUGAUUGUUCUUUCUCUCGAUCGUUCGUCCGCUUUCGUUAAGUAACACGACGAGGAUGCUUGUCGCGUGCGUCGAUCUAUCGAUCGGUUCACGAUCGAACAUUCCGCAACAAUGUUGCUUCGAGAUUCUCCUGUAUGUACACCUCCCUAAUCUCUCGGAAAAACAACGACACAGUAACCGAACAUUUUUCUGGGACACUGCAUACCUUUGUGAACCUUGUUGCUUACAAUCUCGUGCGCCUUCAUCUUGGCGGACGAAGAAUGUGGAUUAUUGUGUGAAGUGUGUAAAAUAUUCCUAAAAUGUUUGCCCAAAUUCUCUGCAAAAUUUUCUGCGUUUUUGUCUUUCUUUCAGUUUUUAAAAUAUUGCUGUCAUUCUCUUUGAAACAUUUUACCAAAUUGUAUGACGAUUUUGAACACUGUACUACCAAAAACAUCCCUGAGAAAGCAUCUUUGGAACCAGUGGAACGACCACCUGACGUUUUAGGCCUAGCAAGCAUUGUUAACGAUUGAUAUUUCUUGCUCUAUUAAGAAUCAGAAACCUGAAUUUGUUUCGACUUUCCGUCAUUUUUAUUACAAUAGAUUCGUAUGAAACAGUAUUUUUUAAAACCAUCGAAACGCAUUUGAUUUCACUUUAUAAAUUGCAAGAAUGAAUCCACCGAGAUUCCAAACAUCCUCUAUCGCAGUAUGCUAAUGAAUAGACUGCGAAUUUGUAUGCAAAAUAAAAAUCGUCUGUGAUAAUUGCAACAUAACAAAGCUAUUUUCACAUAGAUUUCAUAAUUUAAUGAUUUUAAUAAGUUGAGAAAGAUAGAACAGUAGUUUGAAGCUCUUCAAAUGGUUUCGCUACUUUGCUCUCGAUCUAUUCAGUUAUAAAUGCAUAAAAUCCGCGGAGCCCACUAAUAAAUAAAUCCCGAAAGUAGCACUACAAUGAUCUCCAAUGAUAAUACAAAAAUCGGACCCCUAAUUCCAGUGUAAUAAUAAAACUACGUUGCUCUAAAAAUAACAUCCCCCAAAAUUCAGAUCCCCUGGAAUUGUCAAAAAAUCCCACUAGCUUACGCACGGUCCAUCCAGUCAAACAUUUUUGGAACAUUCGAAGUCGUCUGUAUCGAGUGAUGUGUAUCGCUAAAUCGGCUGCAGUUAAACAUUUCGAGUGUUCAGAGCGGUGGCUUACAUGGUUGACCAAACAAACAGCUUGUACUCUCUUUCGUUUUCGUAAAUAGAAAUAAAUAAAAAUGAAGGGUAAUUCGUACCCAGCUUGCCUCGGGGAAUUGUUAGAGAGGGUGUAGAUGGCACGUUGGAAUGUUUGUGGCUCCAGGGUAAGAAAAAUUGCUAGUAGGACCACCAGCGAAGCGGCGGCUACGCUCAUCCAACAUGCGCAGCCUGCUCUACCGGAAGUCUUCCUCCUAGGCGUUCCCUCAACCGUGCUCGAGCAAACUGACCGUACCGAACUCUCUGUUUCUGUCGCUUAAAACAUUACACGCCUCCUAUGAAACGUUCUAUCCGGCUCCAUCGCCGAGAUCUUCAUUCUCGGCGAACUUGUUUCGCAUUCUCGCGCUCCCACGCCGUGAUUAGUAUGAAGAGACCAGCGAGAUACGCGGUCCGAUUCGUCCCUGAUCACACUGCAUUUAGGAUUCUCGAGAUUCCAGAGAAUUUAGACUUUUCUACAUUCUACUCCUUGCAACCAAGCUGAUCGUUUUCAAUAUUCGAAUCGCGUUUGACAUUUUUAGCUACUUCUUUGGCUAGUAAAAAUUCUUCGACUCCAAGGGAAUUCAGUUUAUUGAAUGUUGUGCUCUGAUCAGUAUUUUUCAAUACUGUUUUUUAAGUUCUCAAGAAAUACUGUAUACUAAGAUUUUUAGUAGAUUGUUUACUAACUAGACUGUGGUUCUUUGCGCAAAAUUGAAAUUCCUCGGAGUUCAAGCAACAGACAAAAUGAAGAAUUUCUUUGUGUACUUAAUUUGUACUUAAAUUGUAUAACGGAAAUGCAUGAAGCACUUUAAGAACAAUAAUUUUCAUUGUAAAGCAAUGAGUCAUAUCCAGUGACAUAAUUGAAGAAUAUCUUUCAGGACUGUUUCUUAAGCUGGUAAAAUGUUGACUUUGGAUCUUUGUAAAGUUUCAUCUUCAUUCAUUAUCUGUUACAGCCAACAUCGUUGUCGAACAUUAUAGUUUUUCGUGACACACAUAAAAUAAAAAUUCUAUUCGAUUUGUUUAAUGCAUAAA